rnacentral:lncRNA from 1 species
GAUGACUCCCACUGAGGAAAUUGCUCACACUCCAGUGAUUAAAGGUGGUCAGGCCUUGAUUGAAGAGGAAAUUUAGAGCUCUCAUGUGCCAGAGUCCUCUACUCUCCUACCAGAAUCUGUACUUCUCCAUAACAUCUGGGAAUAAACCAGGACUUCUUCAUAAUGCCCUGAUGGCAUUCUCCUCCAUGAGAGCUGCCAGAUACGUGCAUACUUGAUUAGACUCUCAAAUAGCACCGCACCCAACCUGCAUCCCCAUCAAAGGAACCAUCAGCCCUA